rnacentral:snRNA from 1 species
AUCCUACACAGAGAGUAAUAAGUUUGACCGUGAAGUCUCGACUGAGUCAACUUUUUUGCUGAUUGAAAACUAUUUCCUAACAUCUCCGUGGUCUCGCAAGAGGCAACGGGAAUUUUUGAAAACCCACUCCCAUCCUUUACUCUAUGAGUAAUGGA